GGCCUGGUGGUGGAAUGGUAACACACUUGCUUUACAUAUAUGUGGCAAGUGAAUGUUUUCUGCAGGAGAUCCUUGUUCGACUCGAGGUCAGGCUA